CGCGACCCCAGGUCAGUCGGGACUACCCGCCGAAU
rnacentral:rRNA from 1 species